GUUGAGGAAGAUAAUGACGGUACUCAACAAGGAAGUGACGGCUAACUACGUGCCAGCAGCCGCGGUAAAACGUAGGUCACAAGCGUUGUCCGGAAUUACUGGGUGUAAAGGGAGCGCAGGCGGGAGAACAAGUUGGAAGUGAAAUCCAUGGGCUCAACCCAUGAACUGCUUUCAAAACUGUUUUUCUUGAGUAGUGCAGAGGUAGGCGGAAUUCCCGGUGUAGCGGUGGAAUGCGUAGAUAUCGGGAGGAACACCAGUGGCGAAGGCGGCCUACUGGGCACCAACUGACGCUGAGGCUCGAAAGUGUGGGUAGCAAACAGGAUUAGAUACCCUGGUAGUCCACACCGUAAACGAUGAUUACUAGGUGUUGGAGGAUUGACCCCUUCAGUGCCGCAGUUAACACAAUAAGUAAUCCACCUGGGGAGUACGACCGCAAGGUUGAAACUCAAAGGAAUUGACGGGGGCCCGCACAAGCAGUGGAGUAUGUGGUUUAAUUCGACGCAACGCGAAGAACCUUACCAAGUCUUGACAUCCCUUGACGAUGCUGGAAACAGUAUUUCUCUUCGGAGCAAGGAGACAGGUGGUGCAUGGUUGUCGUCAGCUCGUGUCGUGAGAUGUUGGGUUAAGUCCCGCAACGAGCGCAACCCUUAUGGUCAGUUACUACGCAAGAGGACUCUGGCCGGACUGC
rnacentral:rRNA from 1 species